CCUCUAAAGUCCCUUUCAGCUCUAUUCUGCUCUUCCGCCAUCCCCUCUACGCACUCCCAAGCCUUUUCCCACUCCUUCAACUCGCCCUUCCCCCCUCCUCGCCGACAAAGACCGGCAGAGGCGCCGAUGAGUCAGCGCGGUGCAACGUGAUUGUUACAUCACGAGGAGGGCGGGGCUAAGGCUGAAGCCAGAUAGAGUCCAGCGUUAGCUGCCUGAGGCCGGCGGGGGGAGGAAAGAGUGGGCGGCACCUCUUCUGCUUAACGCGACCCAGCCUGGGUCCAACUCAGAGAAUAUUUCUUUUUCUGUUUUUGCUUUGGACUACCAAAGGCCUGGGAAUUGGAACAAUAUAUUUAUAUAAAGAAUAAAUACAGGCAGAAUAAAUACAUUAAGUGACCAAAGUUAUAACACAGACUUCAGAGGAUAAUUAGAACUGCAGAAAAAAUAAUUGCUACCAACUUGCCUUCCAUUGAGGACCUGUAUACUGCACGAAUCAAGAAGAGGGCCGUGAAAAUAUUUGCAGAUCCCUCGCAUCCUGGACAUAAACUGUUUCAACUCCAACCCUCAAAACGACGCUAUAGAGCACUGCACACCAGAACAACUAGACACAAGAACAGUUUUUUCCCCGAAGGAUAUCACUCUGCUAAACAAAUAAUUCCCUCAACACUGUCAGACUAUUUACUGAAUCUGCACUACUAUUAAUCGUUUCAUAGUUCCCAUCACCAAUCUCUUUCCACUUAUGACUGUAUGACUAUAACUUGUUUCUGGCAAUCUUUAUGAUUUAUAUUGAUAUAUUGGCCAUCAAUUGUGUUGUAAAUGUUGUACCUUGAUGAACGUAUCUUUUCUUUUAUGUACACUGAGAGCAUAUGCACCAAGACAAAUUCCUUGUGUGUCCAAUCACACUUGGCCAAUAAAAAAUUCUAUUCUAUU